rnacentral:rRNA from 1 species
AUUGAACGCUGGCGGCAUGCCUUACACAUGCAAGUCGAACGGUAACAGGUCUUCGGAUGCUGACGAGUGGCGAACGGGUGAGUAAUACAUCGGAACGUGCCUAGUAGUGGGGGAUAACUACUCGAAAGAGUGGCUAAUACCGCAUGAGAUCUACGGAUGAAAGCAGGGGAACGCAAGAACUUGUGCUACUAGAGCGGCCGAUGGCAGAUUAGGUAGUUGGUGGGGUAAAGGCCUACCAAGCCGACGAUCUGUAGCUGGUCUGAGAAGACGACCAGCCACACUGAGACUGAGACACGGCCCAGACUCCUACGGGAGGCAGCAGUGGGGAAUUUUGGACAAUGGGCGCAAGCCUGAUCCAGCCAUGCCGCGUGCGGGAAGAAGGCCUUCGGGUUGUAAACCGCUUUUGUCAGGGAAGAAACGCGCUGAGCUAAUACCUCGGCGUAAUGACGGUACCUGAAGAAGAAGCCCCGGCUAACUUCGUGCCAGCCGCCGCUGUAACAC